UCUCUUUCUCUCUCUCAACCGAUAAUAAAUUUCAAGGCAAAAGUCAAUUUGAAAAAGAGAAUCCAUAAUUUUUAAUAUUUUUAAUAUAAUAUAUUCUCUUUUAUUUCUGAAUCUCAUAUUAUUAUGUUCUAAACGUAUUUCUCUUAUAACGCACGGCAUUCUUGGAUAUUCAUCUCGUCUUAUCCUUUUAUUAUAAUAUCUUUUCUUUUCAUUUUAUAAUAAUUUAUCGCGACAUUUCUUGCGAGACGUCAAAGCUGCCGUUAAUCCGUCCAGUAAAUAUUUCUUAAAGCGAUUAGAAAUUAUGGGCAUUAUUGUUUAUAGAGAACCGCAGAAGCAAGAUAUAUAUGCAUGAUGACAUUACAUCUUGUAACUUCAAUCUAGAUGUAUUACAUGUUCUUUUAAUGUGGCUGGCUUUUUUUACUAAAUUCUCUUACAAACAACACAAAAGUUUAAAAGGUGUCGUAAAGAUGCCUAAAAAGCUAUUGACAUUUUUACCGUAAUAAACUUUUGUAUUGUUUCGAUUGACAUAUAUAGAAGAUGUGUAAGGCAGUACUUGCAUAAAGAAUAAGCUUUUGCGUGAAUCACAUGCGCUGAUAUUACAUACAUCGAAACUUAACGGAAACGCUCGUGUGUGUGAAAAACUAAAAAUAUUACACUUAUGAUAUAUAUUUAAAAAAUAUUAUAAACGUAGAUGACAAUAGUGAGCUUUUUUGUAAUGAGCAGAACCGUGACAUGUAAAUGUUUUUAUUCAAGAUGACGUCGAUGCUUAUAAUCGGCAUAAUGCCAAUGGUACAAGAAAAAAGAAAUUUUUAUAAUGCACAUUACACAACGUCACUUUAUCAUACGCAUCGUUAACCCUCUCAUGCAUUUGGUCCUAACAUUUAACAGACAAAUUCACUUCAUAUGACAAUUAAAAAUGACAUGUUAGAUAUUGCUCUUAUACAUAUAUUGCCCUUUUAAAUGACGAGUCCUCAUUUGAGAUCUUUUCAAGCCUUUGAAACAACGGGAGCUACAAAAUCGGAAGCAGAGAGUUUACUGCUUAUUUAUUCCUACACAAAAUUCUGAACUGCAGCUGUGAAAAAAUGUAUUCUGCAGCAUACUUUUCUAAUUAUUCGGGCGCUGUUUGACAAAGUGGAUCGAAUCCGCAGAUUUAAUAGAUCACGAGUCGAAUCAUCUAAAUCGUGGAGUUGCCAUCACAUAUUUAAGGUAAAUAUAUUUAAGAUAUUGCGACAAAUAUAUAUCGCAAAUAUCUAUUAUGAAUUCUUCUUUUUUCGUUAAGGAGAAUCAUUGGUGCAUGAGAAAGUUCAACGAUUCGACGAUUCGCGAUAUGUUAAGGACUUUGUGUCCCGAUAAUCUUGGCGUUUUCUUUCUAUGUGAGUCGCAUGGAAAUCAUGAAAGCACCGUCUCGUCUCAAGCGACGCGAUCAACGUCCGAGUGCAACGAUUAAACGCCUCGGAUAACAAUGGGUUCGCGUUGCCCGCGUUUUACCAGCGGGGAGUCGAGUGAUCUGGCCGUAUAUCGUCCUCCUAUCAUUUCCUUUGGAGGCGAGAGCCAAUAAGUAAAGAAGAAGAAGAAGAGACCAGCGGGGAGUCAUCUGGUUUAGGCUACGCGGCGGAUGCGACCUCGAAAGUUUUUCCGGACCGCCGGAAUUAAACCCCGCAGUGUAUUAGCUAAUGUAUAUUACACGGUGUCCCGAACCGUCGCGACGACCCGUUGCGACGGGAGCUUUGACUAAGUAAAUAUUGACAUUAACAUAUCGCGAGAGAGAUACAUAUUACUUUGUAACGUUCGGUGUUCAUCAGUCAGUCGUCCAGGCCGAAGCGACGGAUGGACGGUGGAUCGUUCACCAUUCGAACGAUGCAAAAAAGAAAAAAAAAAAAGAGGACAUAAUCUCGACCGGCCGGUCGCUUCGAACGGAACAACGAGAUUUCAAGACAUCAGACAGCUACUGAACGCACUCCAAUAUCAUAAUAUAUUCAUGAUGUAUUCAAUUCGAAAAUGUCAGAAGCCAUACUUGUCGCCAACUGCACACGUGUUCGAAAAUACGAAUGAAGAAAUAAACGCACAAAUGCCGGAAUUUAAAAGAUUAGACAUCUCAA